rnacentral:snoRNA from 1 species
UCAUGUGAUGAUCAACAACCUAUUUUUAUAAAUACUAUUCUGGUACCUCUUAUGUUAGGCUUCCUUCGGGAUUCCGAUGAAUGUAAUGGACUUCUGACA